rnacentral:rRNA from 1 species
AACGAACGCUGGCGGCAGGCCUAACACAUGCAAGUCGAGCGAGGACUUCGGUCCUAGCGGCGGACGGGUGAGUAACGCGUGGGAACGUGCCCUUUGCUUCGGAAUAGCCCUGGGAAACUGGGAGUAAUACCGGAUGAGCCCUUUGGGGGAAAGAUUUAUCGGCGAAGGAUCGGCCCGCGUUGGAUUAGGUAGUUGGUGGGGUAAUGGCCUACCAAGCCGACGAUCCAUAGCUGGUUUGAGAGGAUGAUCAGCCACACUGGGACUGGGAAACGGCCCAGACUCCUACGGGAGGCAGCAGUGGGGAAUGUUAGACAAUGGGGGAAACCCUGAUCGAGCCAUGCCGCGUGAGCGAUGAAGGCCUUAGGGUUGUAAAGCUCUUUCAGCUGGGAAGAUAAUGACGGUACCAGCAGAAGAAGCCCCGGCUAACUCCGUG